rnacentral:rRNA from 1 species
CAAUAGCGUAUAUUAAAGUUGUUGCAGUUAAAAAAGCUCGUAGUUGGAUUUCGGGAUGGGCCAGUCGGUCUGCCGUAAGGUAUGUUACUGGCUGGUCUGUCCUUCUUCGCAAAGACUGCGUGUGCCCUUAAUUGUGUGUGCGUAGGAUUUGCGACGUUUACUUUGAAAAAAAUUAGAGUGUUCAAAGCAGGCUGACCGCUUGAAUACAUGAGCAUGGAAUAAUGGAAUAGGACUUUGGUUCUAUUUUGUUGGUUUCUUGAACCGAAGUAAUGAUUAAGAGGGACAGUUGGGGGCAUUUGUAUCAACACGCUAGAGGUGAAAUUCUUGGAUUGUGUUGCGACAAACUACUGCGAAAGCAUUUGCCAAGGAUGUUUUCAUUGAUCAAGAACGAAAGUUAGGGGAUCGAAGAUGAUUAGAU